GCCAGAAUGAUGUAGUGGUUUGAGUGUUGGACUAUGACUUUGGAGACCAGGGUUCAAAUCCCAGCUUGGCCA